UACAGAGGUCUCAAGCGUUGUUCGGAUUCAUUGGGCGUAAAGGGUGCGUAGGUGGCGCUGUAAGUCGGGUGUGAAAUUUCGGAGCUUAACUCCGAAACUGCAUUCGAUACUGCCGUGCUUGAGGACUGGAGAGGAGACUGGAAUUAUGGUGUAGCGGUGAAAUGCGUAGAGAUCAUGAAGGAAGACCAGUGGCGAAGGCGGGUCUCUGGACAGUUCCUGACACUGAGGCACGAAGGCCAGGGGAGCAAACGGG
rnacentral:rRNA from 1 species